GGAACGGAUUUAAAAGAGCGCAUGGGGCUGAUUUGGGCUGCUGCUUGGCGUCUUUGCUGAAAUAUAAACACAGAUGAGGACCAGCGCUAAAAAACAGCUUGAGGGUAGACAAAAGAAACAGAUUGACUAAUAUAGUGUAGUAUUUUUAACCUUUGGUUUGAUUGGUGCUAAGGUGAGCACACACUCUGUAGGGGGAGUGUUUUUACUCCUUCACCUUUAUGAUUGUUACCAUCACCUUUUCAACCAGACAGUGCAAUCAUAUAUCCAAGCGGUGUUAAAGGGGUUUACAGAAUGAGCUCCAGACGGUCACAUUCAUCUCACAGGGGUGAUUCAAGGGACAGACAUCAUGUUGAACAUAGAAGGAAAUCUGCCAGAAGGGAGUGUGAAGCAGAGGGGCGUAACUAAAGAGGAAGCAGACCCUGAGGCUGCAGGGGUGCCCAGGAGGUAUAGGGGCCCCAUGAGGCUCUAGUUCACAUACAAUUUCAAUAAAUAUUGAUAA